rnacentral:lncRNA from 1 species
AUGUCAUCGAUUAUGGAGAAGUCCUAAGAGUGCAGAGGCCCCCAGCCACGCUGGCCAGCUCCUCCGGGACUCUGCCAGAGGUGGAUUUCGCCAUCCCGCCAGGCAGGGGCAGGAGUCAGGAGUUGAUGCAGAGCCAGCCCCAGGAGCCCGUUAGCAUGCCUCAGACGCUGACCAGCACGCUGGAGCACAUCGUGGGCCAGCUGGACGUCCUCACCCAGACAGUCUCCAUCCUGGAGCAGCGGUUGACCCUGACAGAGGACAAGCUGAAGCAGUGUCUGGAGAACCAGCAGCUAAUCAUGCAGAGAACAACACCGUGAUCGGGGGAGCAAGAAUCAAGAGCUCGGUUGAUUUUGGGGGGUGGCAGGCCUUGGGGUUUGUACUGUGCGGCUUGGGCAAAUAAAUACAGGGGGUUCAGCUCUGGGAAGCACAUCCCUCCCCAAGUCCCAGGGGUCCAGCGUUCUGCCCCCCAUCCAGAAGGAGGUGGGAGGGGCCAUAGGUAGGGCCCACACAGGCACAGCUGGCCACUUUUGGUUUAAUGUGCAGCAGCCACUUGAAAAUGGUUGCUCCCUUGGAAUCCUGAGGAGCCCUAGGAUGGCAGCGCCCGUCUCCACUGGGACUGGUCAACCUUUCUACCGUAUGACUGGUUUUUCCUACCCAUCCCAGCGUAGAAAUGGACUGCUUAUUGGUUGGAUGAGCCAGGGGUUUCCUCGUAGUCUGACGGAAAGCCCACCUGAGUCUGAUUUAUCCAUUAACAAGCACUGGGUAGGGGCAGGGGGGUAGUGGCUUUGCAGUGGUCUUGAUUUCUAUCCCACACAUGUUCACUGGGGCGUGGUGGCUUCCUCAGCAUGCAUAAGGGCAAAGGAAUCUGAACAUUAAAACAAACUUUAUGGAGCUUAUCGUCAGAAUGGCUUGCUGUGAAUGAGACCUCCCCAGGGCCCGUAAAGGGGAAUGAAAAUGGCAACUUGGGAAGGCCCCUGCUGCGAUCACCUCUGAAGCCCAGCACACGGUGUUUGCAGGGAUCUUGCGGAGCACGGACAGUGGGAGCUCCUGCAGACACCCCCUCCCUCUGGCUAGCCUGGCUGGUUGCCUCACCUGGUACCUGAAGGCCGCCUCCUUUCCACUUGCGUGAGGGUUCCAUGGGCUGCUUCCCCCACAUCUUUGCCAAAAGGCCGAGCAAGUGUCCCGUGUCUCUGGGUGUCCUCCAUGCCUUCUUGGGGCCCAGCCAGCCAGGGAGGUAUUUACCCUGCCAUACACCUGCUGGCCCAGGUGCUGCGGGGUGGGGACGGGGGGGGGGGGGGGGGGGGGGGGGGGGCGGGUGUUAGAUCUUCCCGAGAGCUGGCAGCUCCAGGCAGCAAGUGAGGUUCCCAGCCUCUGCGGCUGCCCGGUUCUGAGCAGAGCCAGAACACCUAAGCUUGGGCUGACAAGAGGUAGCCCGAGUUGAGUCCCAAUCAACAAGCCUCGGGAAGCCGCCCCUUCCAGCCGAGUGGUAGGGAAGCUGCAGUCUGGGGUCAGGCCUCAGGAGCUGCCUUUGGUCUUCUGGUAGGACUUUGACAUGGUGACAUAACCUCUCUGAGCCUCAGGUUUGUGGGUCGGGUGGUGGUAGUAACCACCCCACCAGGUGGAGAUGAGGUCAGUGUUGCAGCUGGUGCUAAAUGGAGGUUCCUGGCUCCUCAGCUCCACCAUUCCGUCUAGGACGCUGGGGCCUGCAUAGGUGGGGAAGAGGCUGCUGGCUCAGGAUGUUCUGGAGGUCUCCAGGGACCUGCUCCCGUCCUCCCACGUGGUCCUGCUGUGUAGAAGAGCCUGGAAAGCCUGCUGGUCUAAAUUGUCAGGCAUCGAAUCUCGGGAGGUCUUGCUGCAGUGCUGCGGUCUUGUGGGAAGAGAACCCCGCUCCUUUGCGACACAGUCCUGAAGCCCGGGAUGAAACCCUUCAGGUAGACUAUCCUUCGCAUGGACAGUGAGAGCGGGGGGAGAUGGGCGCGAGGACUGCCCCAGGGCCCCUCUUCGAGCCUUCCAGUCAGCGGAAAGCUCAAAUCCCGCCGGUUCCAGAAGUCCCCCCUUCGGCAGAUCUCAAGCACCACCAUCCCUCACCUCUGACCCUGGCUCCCUUCCGCACGGUGUAGAGACAGGGUGGCUAUGAGCUGAUCAGCCUCGGGCUGAGUGGGAGAGGUAAGCUCCAAGGAGGUGGGGGCACUCCGUCGGGCAGGGAAGGGACCCGAUGGAUCCAAGAGCCCAGCCGCGAGCUCCUUCCCGCGGCAGGCAACGCUGGCUCCUUAGGGAAAGUGCGGCAGGCCCUGCGCACGCGCGCCGCUCGAGUCGAGCCGCUUUGUUCCAGCGCUACCUGCGGCUCCAUUCACCUCCUUAACCAUACCAGCCUGUGAGCCAAGACACAGCGCUCGCUGAGAUCCCGCCCACUUCCCGCGCUGGGUGGAACUUUCCACUGGCCCCACCUCCCUCCUCCACCCUCCGCCGCCGUCUUCUUCGGCUGCAAUUGGCCAUCUGCCUGGCGCACUCCCGCCUACCACGAAAGUUGAUUGGUACGUUGGGGAGGAGGGGGAGGAGAGUGCGCCCCCUCCCACCAGCUCCUGAGGAAAAGUCACGUGACGCUUCACUCGGAGCCUGUCACCACCCGCUUGCAAAGCUUCUCUUAAAGAGCCCAAUGUCUUCCCAGAGCUAGUCCUUUCUAGGAUUUCUCCAUACCUACCCUCGGAGGGCGGCAAGGCCUUGGGACGUCCUACUCCGCCAGUAGCCCAUGUGCUGAUUCCUCAUCAGUCCUGCUGGGGUGAGACACAGGUUUCUGAGCCUGGGGCCCUCCUUAGGACCCGAAACGGUGACCGCCUAAGCACAAAAGGCCUGGCACAUAGUAGGAGUUCAGUUUCCAUCUGUUGAAUGAACUCUCUGAGAGAAUCAGUGAAUGAGGUGGACAGGAGGAGGGGACUUUGGCUCAGUUUGGUCGUCCCU